UGGGGGAUAUUGCACAAUGGGCGAAAGCCUGAUGCAGCGACGCCGCGUGGGGGAUGAAGGCCUUCGGGUUGUAAACUUCUUUUGCUCUGAACAAGGCAUGCUUUUGGGGUGUGUUGAGUGUAGGGGUUGAUUAGCGCCGGCUAACUACGUGCCAGCAGCCGCGGUAAUACGUAGGGCGCGAGCGUUGUCCGGAAUUAUUGGGCGUAAAGGGCUUGUAGGUGGCUGGUUGCGUCUGUCGUGAAAGCUCAUGGCUUAACUGUGGGUUUGCGGUGGGUACGGGCUGGUUUGAGUGCAGUAGGGGAGGCUGGAAUUCCUGGUGUAGCGGUGGAAUGCGCAGAUAUCAGGAGGAAUACCGGUGGCGAAGGCGGGUCUCUGGGCUGUUACUGACGCUGAGGAGCGAAAGCGUGGGGAGCGAACAGG
rnacentral:rRNA from 1 species